GACAGGCACAGCAGCCGGGGAGACAGGGAGAGCGUCGCAGUUUGUUUUGCAGAUCCUCAAUGCUGGUGCAUGAGUAGGGUCGGAUGGAUAUCAUUUUAAAGAAAAAAGGUUACCUAAAGGGACUCUCCUAAGGAGCUGGCUCACCAAAUCCCGUCCCCGGCUGCUUCUGUUCAUCGCUGGUUUAAAAAGACCUCAAGUCACCCUUAUGAGGAGGAAGAGGAUGAAACGUACCAAAGUUGCAAAGGCCACGUAAGCGAGUGAGUGCCCGAUCCCCCCAUUUCCUGGAGGACGCGACGGCCAGGCCUCAUGGAGAUGUCUGCAGCUGGCACCAGUGCAGAAGAAGAGAAGACUGAAGGAAUCGGCGUGAGACAGUCUACAGUCUGGACUGUUGUAACUCCCCAGCCUGCGUGUAAACCAACAAUACAGUCCUAUUCUAUGUAUACACAGCCUGAGAGGAGUCAUUACUGCGCCUAGAAAGGGGACAGGGGGACUGGGAGGCAACGGUGGGAGACGAGCGGGAGCCAGUGAGGCCAAUACAUGAGUCUUCACUGAAUCAGUAAUGAGUCUUCAGGCGGCAGGGAGGGGAACUCUGGAUUAGAAUAGGGAAGAGUUGAGAUGAAGGGCGGGAUGUACUGUAGUUCUAGUUUGGCGGCUGUGCGGGAUGCUUUCCGAGCUCUGAUGUUUUCUUUAAAGGGGAAAUCCUUUACAAGGCUAAACCAUGAAUGACUGCCCCUUUUAAAAAAUGUCCAAGUUAGGCCAGCAUUUUGCACGACCGCCAAACUCGGACUUAUUACAUCCCAGUCUAAUUGUGAAGAGCUGGAGAAGAAGGAAUGGGUGCAAUUAAUCAUAUGGUGGUGGUGGCGGCUUGAACGGGAUAGGGUGUAUGGGAGGUUUAUGGUAGAAUUGGAUGGACUAUUCGAGAACGGUAGGGGUACAUUUUCUAAAGCUUCUAAAAAUUAAGAGUGCUGGU